rnacentral:rRNA from 1 species
AGUGAACGCUGGCGGUAGGCCUAACACAUGCAAGUCGAACGGCAGCACAGUAAGAGCUUGCUCUUACGGGUGGCGAGUGGCGGACGGGUGAGGAAUACAUCGGAAUCUACUUUUUCGUGGGGGAUAACGUAGGGAAACUUACGCUAAUACCGCAUACGACCUACGGGUGAAAGCAGGGGAUCUUCGGACCUUGCGCGAUUGAAUGAGCCGAUGUCGGAUUAGCUCGUUGGCGGGGUAAAGGCCCACCAAGGCGACGAUCCGUAGCUGGUCUGAGAGGAUGAUCAGCCACACUGGAACUGAGACACGGUCCAGACUCCUAAGGGAGGCAGCAGUGGGGAAUAUUGGACAAUGGGCGCAAGCCUGAUCCAGCCAUACCGCGUGGGGGAAGAAGGCCUUCGGGUUGUAAAGCCCUUUUGUUGGGAAAGAAAAGCAGCAGGUUAAUACCCCGCUGUUAUGACGGUACCCAAAGAAUAAGCACCGGCUAACUUCGUG